CUCAUCUGGACUCUCCUCUGCUGCUGCUUCACAGCCGUUAAGAGGCCAGUGUUGAUCAGUGGCUGUCCAGGCCUUUCAGAGACACUGGUACACCGGCAGCACAAUGAUGAUGUCACUGACUCUACUGCUGGCCACACUGGGGCUCCUUGUUCAGGUUUCAUCAGGACAAAUCAUCCUGACUCAGUCUCCUGGAUCUCAGUCUGUUGUUCCAGGACAGACUGUCUACAUCACAUGUAAAACCAGUUCAAAGUCUGGUAGCUACAUCCACUGGUACCUUCAGAAAUCUGGAGAAACUCCUAAACUCCUGAUUUAUGCAGCUACAAGCCGUCAGUCUGAUGUUUCUGAUCGUUUUAUUGGAUUUGGAUCUGAGCCUAAUUUCAUUCUGACCAUCAGAGGAUUUCAGUCUGAAGAUUCAGGACUUUACUACUGUCAGCAGAGUAACAGCCGGCCAAUCACACAGUGAUACAAUGAUGUACAAAAACCUCCCUCAGCUGGAGAGGAACAAAUCUGACUCAACAGCUGCACUGAAACUAAAACAACAAAAGCUUGACUAAACUAAAAUAUAUUUCAUAAUAAUUGACUUUCAACAUUGUAACACUAAAUAUACUUUAUCUAACUAGAAGUUGUACUGUAAAGUAUUUAAAUAAAACAGGGCUUAAAACAUUCUGCUGCACAUCAAA